rnacentral:sRNA from 1 species
AUGGAUACCAUCUCUGUGUUUACGAGAGUCAACGUAAGCAGAACUCGGUUUUAAUUGGUAUGUUUUCUUUUUCCAGGAGCUGGAGGAGGGAAUGAUAUUCAGUGGUGUUUUUCUCAGGUGAAAGGAGCAGUAGAUGAUGAUGUAGCAGAAGCAGAUAUAAUUUCUACAGUAGAAUUUAAUCAUUCUGGAGAAUUACUAGCAACAGGAGAUAAAGGUGGUAGAGUUGUCAUCUUUCAACAGGAGCAGGAGCGCCUUUGACCUGAGGAUCUCAAAGUGCUUUACAAACACUAAUGAAUUAAUCCUCACAACACCCCAGUGAGAACAAAAUCCAGUCUCAUAGCAGAGGAGAAUAUAAUGUUUACAGCACCUUCCAGAGCCAUGAACCAGAGUUUGACUACUUGAAAAGUUUAGAAAUAGAAGAAAAGAUCAACAAAAUUAGGUGGUUACCCCAGAAAAAUGCUGCUCAGUUUUUAUUGUCUACCAAUGAUAAAACAAUAAAAUUAUGGAAAAUCAGUGAAAGGGACAAAAGACCAGAAGGGUAUAACUUGAAAGAGGA